rfam:Nicotiana sylvestris Nsyl_contig20110, whole genome shotgun sequence.
GGCCAGUGAUGUAUGGUAAUUGUCCGUACCAUAUGAGGAGCUUCACGGCUCCUUUGAUUUUAAAUUUACCUUAAUUUCUGAGGCCU